GACAGAGGUGCCGAGCGUUAGGCGGAAUCACUGGGCUUAAAGCGUGUGUAGGCGGGCCGUUAAGUGCCCCGUGAAAUCCCCCGGCUCAACCGGGGAACGGCGGGGCAUACUGGCGGCCUUGAGCCACUUAAGGGCAGACGGAACAAGCGGUGGAGCGGUGAAAUGCGUAGAUAUCUGGAGGAACACCGGUGGCGAAGGCGGCAUCCUGGACCGGUAUUGACGCUGAGGCGCGAAAGCUAGGGGAGCAAACGGG
rnacentral:rRNA from 1 species